UGGGGAAUUUUGGACGAAUUGGGGGCAACCCGUCGAUCCAGCAAUGCCGCGUGUGUGAAGAAGGCCUUCGGGUUGUAAAGCACUUUUGUCCGGAAAGAAAACGCCGUGGUUAAUACCCGUGGCGGAUGACGGUACCGGAAGAAUAAGCACCGGCUAACUACGUGCCAGCAGCCGCGGUAAUACGUAGGGUGCAAGCGUUAAUCGGAAUUACUGGGCGUAAAGCGUGCGCAGGCGGUCCGCUAAGACAGAUGUGAAAUCCCCGGGCUUAACCUGGGAACUGCAUUUGUGACUGGCGGGCUAGAGUAUGGGCAGAGGGGGGUAGAAUUCCACGUGGUAGCAGUGAAAUGCGUAGAGAUGUGGAGGAAUACCGAUGGCGAAGGCAGCCCCCUGGGCCAAUA
rnacentral:rRNA from 1 species